GACGAACGCUGGCGGCGCGCUUAACACAUGCCAGUCGAGCGGUAAGGCUCCUUCGGGAGUACACGAGCGGCGAACGGGUGAGUAACACGUGAGUAAUCUGCCCUUCACUUCGGGAUAACCACCGGAAACGGUGGCUAAUACCGAAUACGACCAGUCUUCGCAUGAGGUGCUGGUGGAAAGUCUUUUCGGUGAAGGAUGUGCUCGCGGCCUAUCAGCUUGUUGGUGGGGUAAUGGCCUACCAAGGCUUCGACGGGUAGCCGGCCUGAGAGGGUGACCGGCCACACUGGGACUGAGACACGGCCCAGACUCCUACGGGAGGCAGCAGUGGGGAAUAUUGGACAAUGGGCGAAAGCCUGAUCCAGCAACGCCGCGUGAGGGAUGACGGCCUUCGGGUUGUAAACCUCGUUCAGUACCGACGAAGCGCCCUGUCGGGUGGUGACGGUAGGUACAGAAGAAGGACCGGCCAACUACGUG
rnacentral:rRNA from 1 species